UGAUUUUGGAUCCGACUGAGUGGCGAACUGGUGAGUAACACGUGGGUAACCUGCCCAGAAGAAGGGGAUAACACCUGGAAACAGAUGCUAAUACCGUAUAACAACAAGAACCACAUGGUUCUUGUUUGAAAGCUGGCCUUUGUGCUAGUGCUUCUGGAUGGACCCGCGGCGUAUUAGCUAGUUGGUGAGAUAAUAGCUCACCAAGGCAAUGAUACGUAGCAGACCUGAGAGGGUAAUCUGCCACAAUGGGACUGAGACACGGCCCAUACUCCUACGGGAGGCAGCAGUAGGGAAUCUUCCACAAUGGACGAAAGUCUGAUGGAGCAACGCCGCGUGAGUGAAGAAGGGUUUCGGCUCGUAAAACUCUGUUGUUAGAGAAGAACAGCCGUGAGAGCAACUGCUCACGGUAUGACGGUAUCUAACCAGAAAGUCACGGCUAACUACGUGCCAGCAGCCGCGGUAAUACGUAGGUGGCAAACGUUGUCCGGAUUUAUUGGGCGUAAAGGGAGCGCAGGCGGUUUAUUAAGUCUGAUGUGAAAGCCUUCGGCUUAACCGGAGAAGUGCAUCGGAAACUGAUAAACUUGAGUGCAGAAAAGGAUAGUGGAACUUCAUGUGUAGCGGUGAAAUGCGUAGAUAUAUGAAGGAACACCAGUGGCGAAGGCGGCUAUCUGGUCUGUAACUGACGCUGAGGCUCGAAAGCAUGGGUAGCAAACAGGAUUAGAUACCCUGGUAGUCCAUGCCGUAAACGAUGAAUGCUAGGUGUUGGAAGG
rnacentral:rRNA from 2 species